rnacentral:rRNA from 1 species
GAGGAAUAUUGGUCAAUGGACGAGAGUCUGAACCAGCCAAGUAGCGUGAAGGAUGAAGGUUCUAUGGAUUGUAAACUUCUUUUAUACGGGAAUAAACGAAUCCACGCGUGGAUUUUUGCAUGUACCGUAUGAAUAAGGAUCGGCUAACUCCGUGCCAGCAGCCGCGGUAAUACGGAGGAUCCGAGCGUUAUCCGGAUUUAUUGGGUUUAAAGGGAGCGUAGAUGGGUUGUUAAGUCAGUUGUGAAAGUUUGCGGCUCAACCGUAAAAUUGCAAUUGAUACUGGCAGUCUUGAGUACAGUUGAGGUAGGCGGAAUUCGUGGUGUAGCGGUGAAAUGCUUAGAUAUCACGAAGAACUCCAAUUGCGAAGGCAGCUUACUAACCUGUAACUGACAUUGAUGCUCGAAAGUGUGGGUAUCAAACAGGAUUAGAUACCCUGGUAGUCCACACGGUAAACGAUGAAUACUCGCUGUAGGCGAUAUACAGUCUGCGGCCAAGCGAAAGCAUUAAGUAUUCCACCUGGGGAGUACGCCGGCAACGGUGAAACUCAAAGGAAUUGACGGGGGCCCGCACAAGCGGAGGAACAUGUGGUUUAAUUCGAUGAUACGCGAGGAACCUUACCCGGGCUUAAAUUGCAACCGAAUAUGGCGGAAACGCUAUAGCUAGCAAUAGCGGUUGUGAAGGUGCUGCAUGGUUGUCGUCAGCUCGUGCCGUGAGGUGUCGGCUUAAGUGCCAUAACGAGCGCAACCCUUGCCGAUAGUUACUAACAGGUUAUGCUGAGGACUCUGUCGGGACUGCCAUCGUAAGAUGUGAGGAAGGUGGGGAUGACGUCAAAUCAGCACGGCCCUUACGUCCGGGGCUACACACGUGUUACAAUGGGGGGUACAGAGGGCUGCUACCACGCAAGUGGAUGCCAAUCCCAAAAACCUCUCUCAGUUCGGAUUGAAGUCUGCAACCCGACUUCAUGAAGCUGGAUUCGCUAGUAAUCGCGCAUCAGCCACGGCGCGGUGAAUACGUUCCCG